AGCAAAGCCCUUGAACCCUGCGAGGACUCUCAGCUUUUUUCCUUCUCUCUUCUACCACAGGUGCUGGCCUUGAGGGGAAUACUGUUUCCUGUAGAAAGGAGCAGGGGACAGGGAGCCAGAGUAAAGAUCUUCUUGAAGUUAUGGGCAUUGCAACCCCACUUACGGCUGCCAACUUCUCCCAGUCAGAGAUGUCACAGGGUUCACCUCCCUGCUUUCUGCAGCACAUCCUUAAUCAGCUCUUCAGCAAAUCCACGGGCAGAGGACUCCCUUACUUCGUGCUUGCCAGUGAAGAAUGGAUUACACAUGUCCUUUCCCACCGACACUUCUAAGUCACUUUUCUUGUCGUCCGGCUUUGGGUCAUGGUCACCAGCCCAUCCUGGCUGGAAUGGUGCUCCUUGCUGCUGCCCUAAAACGGUCAGGGUCCUUGGAAGCUCCUUGGUCCCAGUAAAUGGGAAGAACGUUUCGUCUCACCAUGAACGUUUCUGUAGAUCAAUCUAAUGAGUGCAUAUUCUUUUUUUUUUCCUUGUACGUACUCAAAUA